GUCCCUGUGGCUCAGUGGUAGAGCAUUGGAUUGCGGAAUCCGAAAGUCUGAGGUUUGAUUCCUCAUGGGGACU